rnacentral:rRNA from 1 species
UACAGAGGUCUCAAGCGUUGUUCGGAUUCAUUGGGCGUAAAGGGUGCGUAGGCGGCGCGGUAAGUCGGGUGUGAAAUCUCGGAGCUUAACUUCGAAACUGCAUUCGAUACUGCCGUGCUUGAGGACUGGAGAGGAGACUGGAAUUUACGGUGUAGCGGUGAAAUGCGUAGAUAUCGUAAGGAAGACCAGUGGCGAAGGCGGGUCUCUGGACAGUUCCUGACGCUGAGGCACGAAGGCCAGGGGAGCAACGGG